rnacentral:rRNA from 1 species
CAGUUUUGGCGGAGCCAUCCUUGGGAUACCACCCUUGUAGUACUGGGACUCUAACCAUAGGCCAUGAAUCUGGUCUUGGGACACUGUCAGGUGGGCAGUUUGACUGGGGCGGUCGCCUCCCACAAGGUAACGGAGGCGCUCAAAGGUUCUCUCAGUACGGUCGGGAAGCGUCCGUAGAGUGUAAAGGCAAAAGAGAGCUUGAUUGCAAGACAUACAGGUCGAGCAAGGAUGAAAAUCGGACUUAGUGAUCCGGUGGUUCUGCGUGGAAGGGCCAUCGCUCAACGGAUAAAAGCUACCCUGGGGAUAACAGGCUUAUCUCCCCCAAGAGUCCACAUCGACGGGGAGGUUUGGCACCUCGAUGUCGGCUCAUCACAUCCUGGGGCUGUAGUAGGUCCCAAGGGUUGGGCUGUUCGCCCAUUAAAGUGGUACGCGAGCUGGGUUCAGAACGUCGUGAGACAGUUCGGUCCCUAUCCGUCGCAGGCGUAGGAAAGUUGAGAAGACCUGUCCUUAGUACGAGAGGACCGGGAUGGACGUACCUCUGGUGUACCAGUUGUCCUGCCAAGGGCAUGGCUGGGUAGCUAUGUACGGAAUGGAUAAGCGCUGAAAGCAUCUAAGCGCGAAG